rnacentral:rRNA from 1 species
UACGGGGGGAGCAAGCGUUGUUUGGAUUUACUGGGCGUAAAGAGCGUGUAGGCGGCUUGGUAGGUCCGCUGUGAAAACUCGAGGCUCAACCUCGAGAUGUCGGCGGAAACCACUUGGCUAGAGUCCGGAAGAGGAGAGUGGAAUUCCUGGUGUAGCGGUGAAAUGCGCAGAUAUCAGGAAGAACACCUAUGGCGAAGGCAGCUCUCUGGGACGGUACUGACGCUGAGACGCGAAAGCGUGGGGAGCGAACAGG